GAUGAACGCUGGCGGCGUGCUUAACACAUGCAAGUCGAACGAAGCACCUUGAUUUGCUUCUUCGGAUGAAGAUCUUGGUGACUGAGUGGCGGACGGGUGAGUAACGCGUGGGUAACCUGCCUCAUACAGGGGGAUAGCAGUUAGAAAUGACUGCUAAUACCGCAUAAGACCACAGCACCGCAUGGUGCAGGGGUAAAAACUCCGGUGGUAUGAGAUGGACCCGCGUCUGAUUAGGUAGUUGGUGGGGUAACGGCCUACCAAGCCGACGAUCAGUAGCCGACCUGAGAGGGUGACCGGCCACAUUGGGACUGAGACACGGCCCAAACUCCUACGGGAGGCAGCAGUGGGGAAUAUUGCACAAUGGGGGAAACCCUGAUGCAGCGACGCCGCGUGAGCGAUGAAGUAUUUCGGUAUGUAAAGCUCUAUCAGCAGGGAAGAAAAUGACGGUACCUGACUAAGAAGCACCGGCUAAAUACGUG
rnacentral:rRNA from 1 species